UACAGAGGGGGCAAGCGUUGUUCGGAAUUACUGGGCGUAAAGGGCGCGUAGGCGGCCUGCUAAGUCGAACGUGAAAUCCCCGGGCUUAACCCGGGAACUGCGUCCGAUACUGGUGGGCUUGAAUCCGGGAGAGGGAUGUGGAAUUCCAGGUGUAGCGGUGAAAUGCGUAGAUAUCUGGAGGAACACCGGUGGCGAAGGCGGCAUCCUGGACCGGUAUUGACGCUGAGGCGCGAAAGCCAGGGGAGCAAAGCGGG
rnacentral:rRNA from 1 species